AUUGUAGUCUACUUCGUGUGUUCAAAAGAAGGGUCCCCCCUCUUAUAUAUUUAUAAGAGGUGGAUGGCCUAAUAUGGAAUUUAUCUAGUGCCUGAACAAGCCUAUCAUGCUGCAUAAAUGGAAACUAUUGCUCUCCAUGCCUUUGACCAUCAAGAUCCAUUUACACCGAACAUCUACCUUAUCCCUAGUUUUUACUCGACCUUUGUCUUUAGCCCAAAUUUCCCUUCCUAUUGUCUAACUUACUAGUCAAAGGCAAAGUUAGAACUAAGGAAAUUUAUGAGGAGUGGUGGUACAUAUUUAUUAUAAGGAAGCAUUCCCUUCCCUAUUCUUAUGGAUUCUAGGGUUAUAGAUCCUUCCCCUGUUGUUGCUGAAAUUCCCUAUCUCAUAUCUAACAUGGAGAAACUCCCUUUCUUUUCUUACUAUCUUGCGUCCACCAAGAUCGCUUGCCUUGAGGUGGAGCAGAGGUAAGUUCAUUCACCUGUUAGGAUUUGCAAAGCUCUGCAACUCGAUGCUCUAUUAUUUGUCUUCUUGGUAUGGCAAUAAAAGCUUUGUUCAUUUGUUCCUACCAUGAGAUUAGUAUGAACCAUUUCCUAGACACCCAUGAUGUAUUUUUAAAUAUUUUUUAACAUGUAAUUUUACUAUCUUGUCAAGGAAUUUAUUGUAAUAUUUAAUGAAAAAUAGCUUGACCG
rnacentral:lncRNA from 1 species